GAUGAACGCUGGCGGCGUGCCUAAUACAUGCAAGUAGAACGCUGAAGGAGGAGCUUGCUCUUCUGGAUGAGUUGCGAACGGGUGAGUAACGCGUAGGUAACCUGCCUGGUAGCGGGGGAUAACUAUUGGAAACGAUAGCUAAUACCGCAUAACAGUAGAUAUUGCAUGAUAUCUGCUUGAAAGGGGCAAUUGCUCCACUACCAGAUGGACCUGCGUUGUAUUAGCUAGUUGGUGAGGUAACGGCUCACCAAGGCGACGAUACAUAGCCGACCUGAGAGGGUGAUCGGCCACACUGGGACUGAGACACGGCCCAGACUCCUACGGGAGGCAGCAGUAGGGAAUCUUCGGCAAUGGACGGAAGUCUGACCGAGCAACGCCGCGUGAGUGAAGAAGGUUUUCGGAUCGUAAAGCUCUGUUGUAAGAGAAGAACGAGUGUGAGAGUGGAAAGUUCAC
rnacentral:rRNA from 1 species